GGAUGUGGGGGCGAUCUUGCUGUGACUUCUGUCACUCCACGGAUUGCCAGGGUUGAUGAGGCUGAUCUGGCUGGUUAGGUGGGUGUCCCCUUCCUCCCUCAAUACUCCAUGUGUGUCCCUUCGGAAGCUCCUUGCUCAGUGGAAGAGAACAAACACACCCACCCCCGUAAGGGAGGCCGUUCCUUGGUCAAGGGUACAUGAGUGCUGCACUCCCCUGCUAGAACCUCCAAACAAGCUCUCAAGGUCCAAGCAGAUCAGAUUUCUGUGCUUCUUGUGGAGGACAAAGUAUGGGAAAGAGGGAGGUUAGAUAAGUUAUUGAGCGCUUGAGAACCACAGCCUCAGCAA
rnacentral:snRNA from 1 species